GAGAAAGUAAGGUAAUUAAGAGAUUAAUCAGAGUAUCUGUGCCAAGGUUUUGAUGAGGUCUGGAAGCAGGGUCCAGCAGUGGAAGCAGAGGAGGGCAGAUACAACAGGUUUGAAUUUCAGACCUUACCUUAAAGGUCCUGAUACCUACUGGAUCUGGGUUGAGAGAAAAAGAAGACAAAAUCACCCCUGUGGUUUCCUGCUUGGGCAAUUGGGAGGAGAGUGGAGCCAUUACUAGGGAAUUGCGCAUGGGCUUAAAUGAGGAAUUUCCAUGAAAAACUCUUAUCAGAUAUCAAAAGCAGAAAACAAUGCUGAAAGUUAGCGACCAAAGAACUAAUAUUCCAGCUGUCUAACUGAGGGCAGUGGUUACAACUUUAAUGUCUUCAGGCUCCUCUGAAAUCCCCAAGACAUGGUGCUGACAGUAAAGUUGUCACCUGGAAUUAGCCCACGCCAUGAACACUGUGGUACAUGGAGCUUGGAUAAAUACUCUACGCUUGUUUGUGCUUUACAAUCUGCAUAUUACUCACAACUUGCUUAUUUCCUUUUACAGCAAUCUCAUGAGAUAGGUUUUCUGAGUCGCACUUUAUUGAUGAGGAAACUUAGGAUCAGAGAGGUUAAGGGACAGAUCAAAGGUCACAUUUCUAGUGGAGACUCAAACUUGCCCACCCCACCUCCAAGCCUCGUACCCUGUACACUAGGUACAGGACUGGCUGUUUACAACAAACUUUUCUGAGAAAGAGUAAGAUUAAGCCAGUUCAACUGAAAUUGGCAACAAAGGCCAAAGAACAGUGAGAGUAAAAUUCAGAGUAAAAAAUUCAAGACUGGAGCAAUUCCUUCCAGGGGUUCAGAUGGGACCAUUUACUCUCCUGAUGCCUCUGUCAUGUUUUGUCUACUCCCAGCCCCUUCCCACUGUCAGGCAACUCCAAGGAGGCCCUGCAAUGGGGGAGGCAGGGAAGAGGCUGCUGGGGAGGACAUGGGUAACAGACUGAGAAUGGAAUUUUCCCUGGUUGUAUUUCCACCUCUGCACUUCCUGCUCCCUUCCUCUGCUUCCCCUUUGCUGCCAACUUCAGACAGACUGGCUCAAAGGAAUUGCCUUUUCAAAGUUGUAGAAGUCUAAAGCCAAGAGAAAAGGCUCUUCCUCAGUGAGUUCACAGGGAUCUAGAGACCAGGAAAGGGGACUUUGUGGAUGAACCCAUAACUCCCUCUUUCCCCAAGCUGCUAGAAGAACUAUUGGUUAAGAGCACAGAUGCUGCACUAGACCUCAAGGGUUCAAAUCCAGUUUUGCCAUAUUCUAACUCUGAGACUUUCGAUGAGUUAAUUAACCUCUCUGUGUCUGUCUCCUAAUCUGUAAGAAAGGAGGACAAUAAUAUUAACAAUCUCAUAGGGUUGCUAUGUGUAACAAAUGAGUCAGCACAUGCAAAACAUGUAGCACCGUAUCUGGCACAGAAAGAACACUGAAAGGAUUCUCUGUUUUUAUCUUCAUACAGGCCACUGCCCAUCCGUUAUAUCCCCUAACUUUUCACCAUAAGGAACAAUUCCUCUAGGCUGAGCAUUGCUUUUUUUCUGGUAUUAGGUGUUAGAUUGCAAAUAUUGGUGACACACAAGGAUUAGAAACAUUUAAUCUUGGUCUUGUGUUAGUAUUUGUUUAUGAAAGACACCAUGAAAAUAGAAGGUGGAGGAAAUUGGAAGAGGUCAGAGAAGAACAAAAGAAGAGCAGAGUUUUGGGUGUGGUGGUCCAUGAGUGCUGUCAAGUAGAGGCUUCUCUGAGGGCAGGGCAUGGCUCUCUGCGCAGUCAGAGCCCAGGUGUAGACACACAGUUCACCCACCCCCUGGGUUGGGGAGGAGGACGGGGAAUUGGGCACCCAGGGAGGCAAAGACCCACUUUGCCAAGUAUCAGCUCCAGGGUAAAGUGAUGAUGCUUCUGGAUGAAGCUCUGGUCUGAGUUCUGCUACGCGUUAACCAGAUGAUCUUGGCAAGUUGCUUUAUGUUUCUGGACCUUGAUAGUUCAUUGUCCAGUUGGAUAUGACUCCUUUUCUACUUUCCUUUUGGGGUUAUUUGCACAAGGAGUUGCUAGAGCAAGGUCUGCAAUUUCCUUGGGGUAUUGAGCAACAGAGACAAAUGGUUAAAAACUAAAGCCUUAGAUGACAAAUCGAAAAGAGGGAUAUCUGGCCUUAUACUGCCCCUUCCUCUGUCUCUGCUCUUAGCUGUGCAAUUGUGCAUGCUGUCUAUCUCUCUCACUGAUGCUCUCUCUCUCCUCUACCUCUCUCUCUCACUCUUUCUCAUGCAUUCUCUCUCUUUCUCAUUCUCUCUGAUUUUCUUUCCCCCUCAUUUUCUCUCUCUCUUUUGCUCUCUCUCUCUCUCACACACACACACACUUACACACUCAUCCAUAUCUUCACUUCCUUUUAUUUUGCCUUCACCAAAGGUGCCAAGGUUGCUACAAAACAAAACAAAGCUCAGGGCAGUCUAGAGAGGCAGGGACCCCCUGGUGAGGUCUCCAAGUAAAUGGUGUCCUUUGUGAAUGUUGCGAAGCAAUUGCCAAGACAUAAAGCUUCAGGACAUAAAAAAGUUGUAGACAAGAAAACUUUUGUAGACAAGAAACUGAUGUGGGAUUUUCUAGAUGAGAAGAAAAGGGGCCUGGUGUCCAAGUGGCUGCCUCUCAAGUUCUGGGUUAGGGCCGGAAUCCAGUCUCUGGACACACCAUUCAGAAUCUUUCACACCAUGCCAUUUCAUACUAUUUAAUUUUCUUUUUUUUCUUUUCUUUUUUUUUAGACUGUGGGUGGAGGAUUGGCUUAGAUUUGACUACAACUUUCUAUAACUUGCUAGAAAAGGUCCACCUUCUUGCACCCAUGCAGGGUUUAAAAUGGAGCCACACACCCAUGAAUCAAGGAAAAUUCCUCCCUCAAUUGUGAUCUGAAGGCCUUGUCCAAGGCCCUGAUCUCCUUCAGCUCCUUCUCCUUCACCAAGGGGCGGAUGAUUGACCCAGAAACCCUCCUGCACCUGUCACAAGGCAGCUCCAGCCCGUCAUGGCCAAUCCAAAGUAGCAGACAGCCACAUCUUCUUGUGCAGCGCCAGCCACAUCCCUGAGACACCAUGGUAAAGGUGAAGGCCAGAGUCAAUGGAUUUGGCCCUAUUGGGUGCCUGGUCACCAAGCCUACUUAUAACUCUGGUAAAGUGGAUAUUGUCACCAUCAAUGACCCCUUCAUUGAGCUCAACUACAUGGUCUACAUGUUCCAUAUGAUUUCACCCAUGGCAAAUUCCAUCGCACUGUAAAGGCUGAGAAUGGGAAGGUUGUCAUCAAUGGAAAUCCCACCACCAUCUUCCUCAAGCUAAAUCCCACCAAAAUCAAAUAAGGCAAUGCUGGUACUAAGCACAUUGUAGACUCCAGUGGCAUCUUCACUACCAUGGGGAAGUGUGUGGUUCAUUUGCAGGGGACAGUUAAAAGGAUCAUCAUCUCUGACCCCUCUGCUGACACCCCCAUGUUUGUGAUGGGUAUGAACCAUGAGAAAUACGACAACAGCCUCAAGAUCAUCAGCAAUGUUUCUUGUACCACCAACUGCUUAGCACCGCUGGCCAAGAUCAUUCAUGACAAGUUUAAUACAGUGAAGGGACUCAUGACCACAGUCAGUGCUAUGACUGAAAACUGUGGAUGGCCCCUCUGUGAAACUGUAGCAUGACAGCUGCAGGGCCCAAAGGAACAUCAUCCUUGCAUCUACUGGCACUGUCAAGGCUGUGGGCAAGUAUAUCAAUGAGCUGCAUGGGAAGAGCACUGGCAUGACAUUCCAGGUCCCCACCACAAACAUGUUGGUCAUAAAUCUGACCUGCCCUCAGGAAAAACAUGCCAAAUAUGAUAACAUCAAGAAGGUGGUGAAGCAGCAUCAGAAGGCCCCCAUAAGGGCAUCUUGUGUUACACUAAGAACGAGGUUGUCUCCUCCAGCUUAACCACUGACACCCACUCUUUCACCUUGGAUCCUGGGACUGGCAAUGCCCUCAAUGACCACUUUGUUAAGCUCAUUUUCUGAUGUGAAAAUGAGUUUGGCUACAGCAACAGGGUGGUUAACCUCAUGGCUCACGUGGCCUCCAAGGAGUAAGACCUGUGGACCACCAGCCCCAGCGAUGGCAUGAGAGGAAAACAGAGGCCCUCAGCUGCUGGGGAGUCCCUGCCACACUCAGUCCCCCCCAACACUGAGAAUCUCUCCUCCACACAGUUUAGUGCAGACCCCCUGAAGAGGGAGGUGCCUAGGGAACCCCACCUUGUCAUGUGCCACCAAUAAAGUCCCCUGUCUGUACUCAGAAAAAAAAAAUGCAAUAUUAGGAAGACUCACAAAGAUUACUGAUCACCAAAAGAAUAGACAGCAUGAUUUCUCCAUCCUCCUAUUUUAUACUGAUGCAUAAAUGGUCAGGAAAUGCUGGGCUUACAAUGGGAGUCUGCAUUCCAGUGUGGGAACAAUAGUCUCCCUUGUUAUAAUUUUUUAUCACGUAAGCACAAGACACAGCUUUAUCAAUGGGGGAACACACAGGCUGUUGGUGUGAAACAUUCUAGACUUAGGUGUCAGCUGUUCACAAGAUUGUCUGGAAAAAUCAACUGCCCGGCAUCUAGAGUCCUUGGGGUUCACGCAAAGCGUUUACCUUUUCUUAGGGGAGAAAGCCACCCAUUUUACAGGGAUCUAUACUAAGCACAGUCUCUCAUGCUGGGAAAAGGAAAAUCCCUCUUUUUGGCCGGCUUACUAAACUCCUGGUUUACUUUAGGAUAAUUACACCCCUUGUGCUUGAGUCCCAGAGAGGUCAUGAGAAGCAUAGAAUAAGUUUCAAAGGCACAGGACUAGAUGAAAUAAGUUAGGGUAAGAAUAUUCAUGUAUAACAGGGGAAGUUUCUGGACUGAAUCCUGGAAUACACAUAUCAACAUUUGGAAGUUGAACAGAGAAGGAGGGGCCAGCUAAAUAUGCUGAGUAGGAGUUGGUGGCAGCAAGGAGAAAAAUUAGGAGGACAUGGCCUUGUGAAAGUCAAGUGAAGAAAGUGUUUCAAGAAAAGUUUGGUUCACUAUGUUGUGUGCUGCUGUCACAUCAAAUGCAAUAGGAAAAUAAACGAUUAUUGAUUUUGGCAACAUUGUAAGUAAUUUGUUUAGAGCAAUUUCCACAAAUAGUUGGGUUGGAAGUUCAACUGGAAAGUCCAACACACAAUUCAUUUGUGUGUUGAGGAAGAGAAGAAAAAUGUGGAAAGAGUGACUCGUAAAAACACCUGUUCAAGAAGUUGUACCAUGAAGAUCUCAGUAAAAAGGUGUUACAGCCAGUGGAGUGAAGAGUUUGUUCUUGUUGUGUUGUCUUAAACUGUACUACUCCUUUACUGAUCCUUAGCACCUUGUACAGAGCAAUGUUCAAACAUUGUUGAGUGUUUGACGAAAUAAAGUGUCUAUGUCUCAUACAUAUUUUUAUUACCAUAAACAUUUGCACAACAUCUGACAUAUCAUAGGAACUUAAUACAUGUUUAUUUAAUAAACGAAUGGAAAGAUGAGUGAAAAAAUCAAGACUCUAGAAUGUC